rnacentral:rRNA from 1 species
UAGGGAAUCUUCGGCAAUGGACGGAAGUCUGACCGAGCAACGCCGCGUGAGUGAAGAAGGUUUUCGGAUCGUAAAGCUCUGUUGUAAGAGAAGAACGAGUGUGAGAGUGGAAAGUUCACACUGUGGCGGUAUCUUACCAGAAAGGGACGGCUAACUACGUGCCAGCAGCCGCGGUAAUACGUAGGUCCCGAGCGUUGUCCGGAUUUAUUGGGCGUAAAGCGAGCGCAGGCGGUUAGAUAAGUCUGAAGUUAAAGGCUGUGGCUUAACCAUAGUACGCUUUGGAAACUGUUUAACUUGAGUGCAAGAGGGGGGAGUGGAAUUCCAUGUGUAGCGGUGAAAUGCGUAGAUAUAUGGAGGAACACCGGUGGCGAAAGCGGCUCUCUGGCUUGUAACUGACGCUGAGGCUCGAAAGCGUGGGGAGCAAACAGGAUUAGAUACCCUGGUAGUCCACGCUGUAAACGAUGAGUGCUAGGUGUUAGACCCUUUCCGGGGUUUAGUGCCGUAGCUAACGCAUUAAGCACUCCGCCUGGGGAGUACGACCGCGGAGGUUG